rnacentral:rRNA from 1 species
UGCGUAGGGUGCGAGCGUUACUCGGAAUUACUGGGCGUAAAGCGUGCGCAGGCGGUCUGUUAAGACCGAUGUGAAAUCCCCGGGCUUAACCUGGGAACUGCAUUGGUGACUGGCAGGCUUUGAGUGUGGCAGAGGGAGGUAGAAUUCCACGUGUAGCAGUGAAAUGCGUAGAGAUGUGGAGGAAUACCGAUGGCGAAGGCAGCCUCCUGGGCCAACACUGACGCUCAUGCACGAAAGCGUGGGGAGCAAACAGG